rnacentral:rRNA from 1 species
AGAGUUUGAUCCUGGCUCAGGAUGAACGCUGGCGGCGUGCCUAACACAUGCAAGUCGAACGGUUAAACCGCCCUUCGGGGCGGACAUACAGUGGCGAACGGGUGAGUAACACGUGACCAACCUGCCCCGCACCCCGGGACAACCGCCGGAAACGGCGGCUAAUACCGGAUACUCUCCGAGGCGCGCAUGCGCCACGGAGGAAAGCUCCGACGGUGCGGGAUGGGGUCGCGGCCCAUUAGGUAGUAGGCGGGGCAACGGCCCACCUAGCCUGCGAUGGGUAGCCGGCCUGAGAGGGCGAUCGGCCACAUUGGGACUGAGAUACGGCCCAGACUCCUACGGGAGGCAGCAGUGGGGAAUAUUGCGCAAUGGGGGAAACCCUGACGCAGCAACGCCGCGUGCGGGAUGACGGCCUUCGGGUUGUAAACCGCUUUCAGCAGGGAAGAACAUCGACGGUACCUGCAGAAGAAGCCCCGGCUAACUACGUG